GCGCCCGUAGCUCAGUUGGAUAGAGCGUCGGACUUCGAAUCCGUGUGCCGGGGGUUCGAAUCCCUCCGGGCGCG
rnacentral:tRNA from 1 species